UGCUUUUCGGAUGCGUGGAAAUGACUGUUAGCAUAUACAACAAACAUUCGUACUAGUAGACACAUACAUGUUACUAGGUUCCAAAGUCGAAAGGUUCGGUACUCAUAAUAGAAAACUUAUUAUUCGUCAAAAGCUUCGACGCCUUUAAGAUCAGCACAUGGUUUACAAAACUUUGAUGGAAGUCAAAUUUUCUUGUUGAUUUAUUACCUUUUAAAUGAUUAAAAAUGAUCUCCAAAAAAUAUAUCAUUACACAAAUGCCAGAGAUCUGUUCAAAU
rnacentral:lncRNA from 1 species